UCCUUUCCCCUCCUCCGUCUCCUCCUCUCGUUGUUCAGCCUGUCUGUGAGUGUGUGUUUGCGCGAGAAUGUGAGUGGAUACCCGCCUAUUUAACCGCAAUUUCUACUUGUCAAGCCAAUCCGACCAAUAACUACCAAUUGCACGGAUGUCUCGACUAGCUCUGGUCGAUUCGGACGCUCGGGCCACCAUAACCAUGCAUACCUCCCAGGAACUGGAGGUAUGUCAUAAAACAUAUUGGAUUGUACCUCUCCAAGGGAAUGGAACCAUCUGUCCAACCACUCGGGUGGGUAGCGGGUACCAUCAGCUUGCGAUGUGAACAAAUCAAGUCCUGAUUUGGAGUCAUCCCGAGGUACGUACCUCGGAGCGAGUCCAGACCAACCUACCAACCGACGAACCAACUCGAAAUAAAGUUCUUCCGUCUCUUUUUUACUCCGGUCUCUGCAAUGUCCAAAUGUUGUAUCUGUGAACGUUGUUAGCCAGCAGCCUAUGUUGGUUCGUUUCGGGGCUCUAACUCCAUGAUCAAAUGUUCGUUUGUCAUGUCCAGCCAAUCAAAUGGUCGACAGACAAGCUUCGUAGAUAGUAGUUGUUGUAUGUUGUAUGUUUUCUUUCCCCUUUGGCAAGUCUCACUGUUUGUUCCGUUCAAAGGUUGAACGGAGGCUCAGACGUCGACUUUGAACGAUUUGCGAGAAUUGAUUUAUCAAUUGACUCUGUUUCAUCGACUCAUUAGAAGCCAAAUUGAGGCACUCAUCCUAAAUGGCUCGACGAUUAAUAACGAUGACAAAUGACCCCAAAAGAAACGACGUCUGUUGGCGGGAGCUCACGGGUGUAAUUUUCGUUUCACGAGUGGAAAUACGAUUUAUUUCUAUGAAAUAAAAAGAGAAGCAACCAGUA